AGACUCUGUGCGCGUGCAUAUCAAUAAGCGGAGGAAAAGAAACUAACAAGGAUUCCCCUAGUAACGGCGAGUGAAGCGGGAAGAGCUCAAAUUUGAAAUCUUAAAGGGUUUCCCUUUACGAAUUGUAGUUUAAAGAAGUGUUUUCUGUUGGAGUUUCGGUAAAAGUUCUUUGGAAUAGGACAUCAUAGAGGGUGAGAAUCCCGUAUUUGAUCCGUUACUUUCCAGCUGUGUGAUACACUUUCAAAGAGUCGGAUUGUUUGGGAAUGCAGUCCAAAAUGGGUGGUAAAUUUCAUCUAAAGCUAAAUAUUGGCGAGAGACCGAUAGCGAACAAGUACCGUGAGGGAAAGAUGAAAAGAACUUUGAAAAGAGAGUUAAACAGUACGUGAAAUUGUCAAAAGGGAAGCGUUUGACACCAGUGUUGUUUAGUUGAAAAUCAAUUCAAUAAUUUUUUGAUUCUAAGUAGUAUUGACUUCAUCAGCUUGCUGCUUUCUUCUCAGGAAAUUAUUGAAUGCACUUUUCAGUUAACAAGUCAACAAUCAAUUUCUUUUGUUGUAAAAGAGUAAGAGGAAGGUGGCUUACGCUUCGGCGUCAAGUGUUUAUAGCCUUUUAUCUCUGCAAUCGGAGAGAUUGAGGUCUGCAGCGUAGAUCCUUCGGGGUUAGAUACAUUGGUGCUAAGCUAUAGCCUUGUAUAGACAACUUGUUGACUAUGCUCAGUCAUGUAGCUUACUCGCUGAUGCUAUUUUACCUACGCUUAGGAUGUUGACAGCAGUAUAGACUGU
rnacentral:rRNA from 1 species